rnacentral:sRNA from 1 species
GAGGGUGGCGCAGUAUCCUAGUCGGCGCCGCCGCUUCUAAGGGCGGGGCUAAAAAUCCGCCAAGGGCAUAUCGAUGAAGUUCCUGGUGCUGGCCUUCGACGCCCAGUCGGGGGUUGGUGCUGGGAGUUAAGGAGCGGGGGCAGCUCGUAAAGGCAUGCGGGUGGGACCCUCGCUCCGCGGAGGCCCAAGCGCGUGGCGAGGCUGAGAAGGCUGGCUAUGGCUUGGGGUUGAACCUGCAUUCGGGCUCAAACUGGGUGCAGUGUAGCCUGCCUUGAGCGGCUUUGGUGGACGGUCGCUUCGUCGGUCCGGUCCAAGGGCCCUGGACGAGGCCGACCCACAGUGCGACCCGAAACCAUGGUCCGCAAAAAAGGCUAAGAAGCGCACGGCGCUGUCGAGGAAAACUCCUAGGCUGUUCAACGCAAGUUGAGGCGGGCCGGGGAUUACAGUGUGCUCUAAGUGGUAAUCCAGCCCUGUCGCGGGUGACCGGACGGGGGCCUCGUAAAGGGAAACCGCCCGGGCGGCAACGCCCUGGUGAGGCCUGGGAAAGCCUGCUGGACCUAAGACACAACGUUUACUCGGCUCGUCGCCACCGUCUCCU